UUCGCCCUUAGAGUUUGAUCCUGGCUCAGGACGAACGCUGGCGGCGUGCCUAACACAUGCAAGUCGAACGGAACUGCAAGGAACAAGACUUCGGUCAAGUGAAUUGUACGUUUAGUGGCGGACGGGUGAGUAACGCGUGAGCAAUCUGCCUUUCAGAGGGGGAUAACAUUCUGAAAAGAAUGCUAAUACCGCAUAAUGUGCACAGUUGGCAUCGACAGUGCACCAAAGGAGCAAUCCGCUGAAAGAUGAGCUCGCGUCCGAUUAGAUAGUUGGCGGGGUAACGGCCCACCAAGUCAACGAUCGGUAGCCGGACUGAGAGGUUGAACGGCCACAUUGGGACUGAGACACGGCCCAGACUCCUACGGGAGGCAGCAGUGGGGAAUAUUGCACAAUGGGCGAAAGCCUGAUGCAGCAACGCCGCGUGAGGGAAGACGGUCUUCGGAUUGUAAACCUUUGUCCUUGGUGACGAAAAAAAUGACGGUAGCCGAGGAGGAAGCCACGGCUAACUACGUGCCAGCAGCCGCGGUAAUACGUAGAGUGGCAAGCGUUGUCCGGAAUUACUGGGUGUAAAGGGAGCGCAGGCGGGGGAGCAAGUCAGCUGUGAAAUAUACGGGCUUAACUCGUAGACUGCAGUUGAAACUGUUCUUCUUGAGUGAAGUAGAGGUAGGCGGAAUUCCGAGUGUAGCGGUGAAAUGCGUAGAGAUUCGGAGGAACACCAGUGGCGAAGGCGGCCUACUGGGCUUUAACUGACGCUGAGGCUCGAAAGUGUGGGGAGCAAACAGGAUUAGAUACCCUGGUAGUCCACACUGUAAACGAUGAUUGCUAGGUGUGGGGGGGUCUGACCCCUUCCGUGCCGCAGUUAACGCAAUAAGCAAUCCACCUGGGAAGUACGACCGCAAGGUUGAAACUCAAAGGAAUUGACGGGGGCCCGCACAAGCAGUGGAUUAUGUGGUUUAAUUCGAAGCAACGCGAAGACCCUUACCAGGUCUUGACAUCGAGUGACGAGUUCAGAGAUGAGCUUUUCCUUCGGGACACGAAGACAGGUGGUGCAUGGUUGUCGUCAGCUCGUGUCGUGAGAUGUUGGGUUAAGUCCCGCAACGAGCGCAACCCCUGCCAUUAGUUGCUACGCAAGAGCACUCUAAUGGGACCGCUACCGACAAGGUGGAGGAAGGUGGGGACGACGUCAAAUCAUCAUGCCCCUUAUGACCUGGGCUACACACGUAAUACAAUGGCCGUUAACAGAGGGAAGCAAAGCCGCGAGGUAGAGCAAAACCCUAAAAACGGUCUCAGUUCGGAUUGCAGGCUGCAACUCGCCUGUAUGAAGUCGGAAUUGCUAGUAAUCGCGGAUCAGCAUGCCGCGGUGAAUACGUUCCCGGGCCUUGCACACACCGCCCGUCA
rnacentral:rRNA from 1 species